UACGUAGGGCGCAAGCGUUGUCCGGAAUUAUUGGGCGUAAAGCGCUCGUAGGUGGCUUGUCACGUCGGGUGUGAAAGCUUGGGGCUUAACUCCAGGUCUGCAUUCGAUACGGGCUGGCUAGAGGUAGGUAGGGGAGAACGGAAUUCCUGGUGUAGCGGUGAAAUGCGCAGAUAUCAGGAGGAACACCGGUGGCGAAGGCGGUUCUCUGGGCAUUACCUGACGCUGAGGAGCGAAAGCGUGGGGAGCGAACAGG
rnacentral:rRNA from 1 species